GACGAACGCUGGCGGCGUGCUUAACACAUGCAAGUCGAACGAUGAAGCCGGAGCUUGCUCCGGUGGAUUAGUGGCGAACGGGUGAGUAACACGUGAGCAAUCUGCCCUUGACUCUGGGAUAACUGCGGGAAACUGUAGCUAAUACCGGAUACGACACCUUGGGGCAUCCCAGGGUGUGGAAAGAAUUUCGGUCAAGGAUGAGCUCGCGGCCUAUCAGCUAGUUGGUGAGGUAAUGGCUCACCAAGGCGACGACGGGUAGCCGGCCUGAGAGGGUGACCGGCCACACUGGAACUGAGACACGGUCCAGACUCCUACGGGAGGCAGCGGUGGGGAAUAUUGCACAAUGGGCGAAAGCCUGAUGCAGCAACGCCGCGUGAGGGAUGAAGGCCUUCGGGUUGUAAACCUCUUUUAGCAGGGAAGAAGCGAAAGUGACGGUACCUGCAGAAAAAGCACCGGCUAACUACGUGCCAGCCGCCGCCGUAA
rnacentral:rRNA from 1 species